CGCUGGCGGCAGGCCUAACACAUGCAAGUCGAGCGGUAGCACAGGAGAGCUUGCUCUCCGGGUGACGAGCGGCGGACGGGUGAGUAAUGUCUGGGAAACUGCCUGAUGGAGGGGGAUAACUACUGGAAACGGUAGCUAAUACCGCAUAACGUCGCAAGACCAAAGUGGGGGACCUUCGGGCCUCAUGCCAUCAGAUGUGCCCAGAUGGGAUUAGCUAGUAGGUGGGGUAAUGGCUCACCUAGGCGACGAUCCCUAGCUGGUCUGAGAGGAUGACCAGCCACACUGGAACUGAGACACGGUCCAGACUCCUACGGGAGGCAGCAGUGGGGAAUAUUGCACAAUGGGCGCAAGCCUGAUGCAGCCAUGCCGCGUGUAUGAAGAAGGCCUUCGGGUUGUAAAGUACUUUCAGCGAGGAGGAAGGCAUUAAGGUUAAUAACCUUAGUGAUUGACGUUACUCGCAGAAGAAGCACCGGCUAACUCCGUGCCAGCAGCCGCGGUAAUACGGAGGGUGCAAGCGUUAAUCGGAAUUACUGGGCGUAAAGCGCACGCAGGCGGUUUGUUAAGUCAGAUGUGAAAUCCCCGGGCUCAACCUGGGAACUGCAUUUGAAACUGGCAAGCUUGAGUCUUGUAGAGGGGGGUAGAAUUCCAGGUGUAGCGGUGAAAUGCGUAGAGAUCUGGAGGAAUACCGGUGGCGAAGGCGGCCCCCUGGACAAAGACUGACGC
rnacentral:rRNA from 1 species